ACAUUGGAGAAAACCACAGUGUAAGUCAGGAAAAAGAAAAAAGUAGCUGAAUAAUCAAUUUCCAUUGUGAACUUGAUAUUAUGAUGGGAGACCUCAACUAUUCUGGGCACCAGUGGAAGGCCUCCUUGAGGAAACAAGGUUUAAGCCGAGAUCUGCAGGAUGGAUUCUCCUAUUGCUGUCUCAGCUGCAUACUUUGAAGAAGUAAGCUGCCACGCCAGAGCGCCUAGCUGACAAGAAACCUUGAGAAGACUCUGGCCAAGAUCCAGCAAGGAACUGACCCUCAGUCCAUAAGCCCAUGAGGAGUGCAUCUUUCCCCAGCUGCAUCUUCAGAUGAGAC